rnacentral:lncRNA from 1 species
CCUCAGUCCCUCCUCGUAAUUUAAGCAACAACCAUGCAUUUGCACAUGGAGACCAGCAUUGGUUGCUUUAUUUACCUGAUCACUCAAGUUGUAAUAAUAGAUACGUACUCGGUAUAUGUUCUUUUGACUACAAGAAAGAGGAGUUUUACUCGACUAUUCCUCUUCCCGAGCACAUGCAAAGUAAGUAUACUCCGCACUAUAUGGUCCUUUUGUGUCUUCACUUGCUUAAUCUUAAAGGACCUUUGGCCGUCGUGGACACUUUAUCAGAUGACUAUAUUGAGGUAUGGGUGUUGAAGAACUAUGAUACAAAAGAAUGGAGGCUAGAUUACAAGAUAGAAAACGCAAUUGUCAGAGGCGAGCUUAUUAACGUGACAUGUUGUGAAUGGGAGUAUGGCAUAUUCUUCACUAAAUCACAAGAGAUGCCAGAAAGUAUAAGGAUUACUAUCUUUGUGGAUUUUAGAUGUGGCUCCAUUAGUCAUGUAAACUUAUUUCCACCCAAACGCUAUUGGAAUACAAGCAUCUUGAGCUAUAAUGGGACCUUAAUGUCCCUAAAAAAUUAUGGGAAAUUGGUGAGACCUGACCCUACUACUGGAAGCAUCAGUGUCUAGUAACGGGAAAUUUGCCGGCAUUGUUUGAUGCAGCUGCAACUGCAAGGUAAGGAAAACUUGCGAUGUUGACGUUUUGGUGGACCGUUCCAUUGUAAUGCUUUUAUUGUUUUCCAGACUUGUGAUUUGUUUUGUUUCUCAUUUGAUGUUGUGAGUGAUGCAAAGGUUAUACAUUAGAUAAGUCUGCUUUCAUUUAUGUUUUAUAUAAAAACUGUGUUUUAUAUAAUUGGAUUUUGAAAGAUAAUUGAUUAUAUAAGCAAAAGCUAUGAACUAUAAAUUAAGAAUUUCUUAUAGAUCUUCCAGAGAGAGCAACGUUUCAAACAAUUUCAUAGACCAAAUAAAAAAAAUGAAAAAUACUGUCAUGGAAUUCGAAAACCACAGAAGAGCUUAAACCCUAAACCCUAAACCACAGAAGAGCCUUAUCUGAGAUAGAGUAAGGUCCGGUUCUGGUGGCACCCUGCAGAUCUUCCAACCAUAAUGUGGCUGCUAUGCGUCAAAUUUGAUGGGUCAAAGCUUGGCAUGUCUUUAAUGUCAUCAGGCGGUAAGCUGGAAAAGUUUAUCCUUAAGUAGUUCAUUUUCAAGAACUUGUAGAUCUUCCAACCAUGAUGUGGCUGCAGCCUUAUUUUUCACCUUUUUAAGCUCCUCUUCCGCCUUUUCCAAUUCCUUUUCAAGGGCUUUCUCACUCUCUUCAGUUAAGGAUACAAGUUUCAGAGAUGCUAGAUACUCUGGAUUGUCUUCGAAACCUUGAUGUUUAUAUAUUUCAGCAAAUCAUCUUUCUUCUGCAUGUUGUCCUUUGAUAGAAUGAUGUUUCCCUGACGGUAUCUCUUAACAAAAUGAAGCUCCGUUCUCGCUUUCAAAGCCUUAUCGGCGUGCUUCUUUUGAAGAUUUGUCUGCAUGCAUGAUAGAAAAUCAGUUAACAGAUAGCAAAACAUCAAUUCUCACCAAUCUAGUCUCAUAUCGUUCAAUUCCAAAAAUGAACUCACCAAUCUGCUCUUGUAUUUGUCAAUUCCAUAUUUAUAAAAUUCCUGAAGAACUGCAGUCACGAUAAAAAAAUUAAAAUCAGGUUAUAUACGUUUUUACAGCAAAUACAAAAUAAUAAUAGUAAUAAUAAUGUUAUGUCAUACGCUUAAGCCGGCCGUCUUCGUCAAACAAGACCAUGUUCGAAGUCUUUAUUUUCUUUCCAAGUUUGAACUUUUUUUCCAAACCCUCUUGCUCGGCUUCCCUAAGUUGUUUACCAGACCGCUUGACACGGAUGUCUAUUGGACUCGUAUCAUCUCCGUAUUUUUUGUACCCCUGGAGCAUGUAUUACUGUUUUAUUAGAAACUGAAAAUAAUCAUAAAAUUACAAACCAAAUUUUGAUGUUAACUUUUGUCAGGAAAAUUUUACCUUAAUGAAAGGAUCUUUGGCCUCUGCAUUGUGUUCGGCCACUGAAUUAAGAAAUUUCAAAUACUUGUCCGUCCACUUAUGGAUUGGCAACUCUGUAAUCUUUAACAUUCCGUUGCUUUCUUGUAUGCACACGUAAGAGGUGUAGUCGCGGUCACCCGAUUGGCUAACCUCAAUCCUUCCACGAAAACCUUUAUACCACGGGCACAUUUCCACCGGCAGUUUUUCCAUGUUCCCUUCGUAGGCAAUUAAAUGCAUCAUGUUCUUGAUGAUGUGUAUUGGGUGGUAAUUGGGGACAUUGGUACUCCACCCAACUCCAAUUCCUUCACACCAUUCACAAGGACCAUGGGUAUUAUUGGAAAAUACCUACAUGGCAAACAAAAAAAUCAUCCCAAAGAAAACAAUUUCAAUAAUUUACCACCAAAACUUUUAAAGAAGGAAGGAAGAGUAAUGUUAGUAAAAAUAUUGAAACAAACUACAUACCUUCCAGGUUUAACUUCUUCUUUGCCUCGUUCAUCUGAGCUUUCAUCAUCAAGGAAAAUCAAUCUUGUAAUACGAGAAAGCUCAAUAUGUAGAUAACGAGGUGCUGAUUGGUCUUCACCCCCCUAAAAGUAGAAAGGAAAAAGGAACAUAUGUGUGUAAAACAAAAGAUUGUCAUGGAAUUUAAGAGUUACAUUACGCAUGAUGAACGUCAUUCAAGCUUGUUCAAUAAGUGACAUUUUUACCUGGCCCCGUGUUCCAUAAUUGCCAUGGGGAAUAAAGAGAUUGACAUUGUUGCUUCCCACAUAAUUUCGAGUCAUUCCCAUAAUUAUGCUGGCGACAUUACUUGAACUAUGGUGAUCGACAGACUUAGAAAACGUUUCCAAUUUUGUUAUUCCAAUUAACUUAUUCUUCAAAGCGCAGAACAAAAUCUUCCUUUGACCAGGUUUCAAUCCAUCAGCUAUUGAUGGAAUCGUCCUUUUCAGAGCAACAAUGCAAUACUUAAUAUACAUUUUGUUAAAAAAUUCAGUAUAGUUUUUAUGCAUCUCCUCAUCCUCAUCGUCGUGAUUUUCCUCAUCCUCAUCCUCAUCAUUAACUUGGUUACAAUCGAGCAAUGGGGUAUCACUAUUACAUAUGGCAGAAUUGACCAAACUUAACGAUUUAAGUGUAAAAUGGCUAAGAACUUAAUUUUCAUUCCUACAAGUCAAUUGUACAGCUAUGGAAGGGGAAAUACAAACCAAUCAAUUAUAACAGUAUAACGCCUAAUCUAAUUCCUUUGAAGGUAUGGAUUGUGAUCGUGAUCACGAUUCAAUUUUAACAUUAAGUCCAAUGAAUUUGGUGAGAUUAUCCUGCAUCAUAAAGAAAAAUCCUCUGCAUUUGCAUACAAUACACAAAAUAAAUCCCUUGAAAAAUACAAUAAUAGAAAACAACUACUAUAACACCUCUAAGGGUGCGUAGCCCAAGUGAAUAAAAAAAAAUGCCUCAAGCGAGCGGCUUAGUGAGUAUAAUGAAGCUAGUAUAAUCAUAUAAUAUAUUAUAUACUAUUUAAUGCACAUAUUAAUGUAUGCAACAUUGCUCAAAUAAAAAGUUAUUUGACUAAACGAAUCAACACCACUCCACGUACCAAAGGAGAGGUAAAUUUUUAUUUUGUCAUUUUAAAUAUUUGGCGUCUUUUAUGGUCAAUUCAAUAAAGGACAUAUGCAUCCAACAAAAGAAAAAUAAAUGAUAAGCACACAAUCUACGUAAUCUUUCACACAUCUCUUAAUCUUGACUUUUAUUUUUUAUAAUUUAUUCUAUUUAGUUGUUAAAAAUAAAAAGUAACGUGCAAGAAGAUAAAAAUGGUUCGAAAAUAAUUUUACAAACAAAUACAGGGCAUAGUGGAAAAGUAAUUUUCUUUUAAUUUAGUGGGUGGGGCAUGUGACCUUUUCUCACCAAAAAAUAAAAAAAUAAAAAACUGUGGGCGGGAAGAGUAACAGUCGGAGUAUAAACAGAAACUCCGAAGAGAACGAGUGCGCUUGGGCCUUCAGCAACCGUGACUUUAGCAGUCUCGACGACUGUCUCACGAAAUUCACCACCGCCGGUACGCCGCCGUGGUUGCACGUCAGAGCACCAAACGUCCAGAGCCAAAGCCCGCACCUUCUCUCUGACGCUCUCACCGGUUAUGCGAGGCAAGGUAUUAAUCUCAAACUUGACAAGUAUAUGCUUUGCAUUCUGCAAUACGCCUCUUGUCUUUGGCUUUGUUUCCGUUGUGUCUCCAAAAAUUUUAGUAAUUUUACACUCCGUUAAGUAGUUCACUCGCUGUUUACAUUUCGAAUGCAGUGUAACUGUUUGUGAAAAGUUGCGAGUGGCAGGUGGGUUGGAGACUUUCGAGUUUCCAGUUCAUUUUUUUAGAUGAAUUAUGGUGCUGAGGUGUAGUGGGAGGCACUGAGUCUGAGGGGGAACAUGCUUAAUCGGUUAAGUCGGCUGUUGCUUUUGCACUGCUGCUCCGAGGCCAUGGCUAUUUGUAGGUUUGGGCAAUCCCGGUGAUAAGUACCAAGGAACUAGGCACAAUGUACUAUUCCAGAUUAUACUUUUAGUGGCUACAAUUUGAAAUUUUUUCAAAUCUUAAUUUAAUUACACCCUUCUAAAUUAAAGAGAAAUUAGAAUGUCUUGCAAUUUUUCCAUUUCAACGUAUCUACGUAAUUAAUUGUAACAAUUAAUAUUGUGUUCAUGAAUCAAAUGUACUGAAUAUUCAACAGGAUCCUCUUCGGAUCCUUUUGAUGAGAAUCCUCUAUGAAUCGCGUCCAUUCAUCGUGCAUUGUACGGUCAAUUUUUGUCAAGUACUGUUUGUAUUUAAUUUUAAAUAAAAAUAUUUAAAAUGAGAUAUGACCGCACGAUAUAUGAUGAACAUACACGAUUAAUGGAUACCUGAGAUCUUCAUAAAGAGAAUACCGAGAUGAUCCAUUCUCACUGAACAUUAGCAACAAGUACAAUAACUUUCAGCGGCCCAAACCGAAAAAAAAAAAUUGAAAUCAAGAACCACAUUAAAAGUCAAACUUAUCAGUAAAACUGUAAAAGAGAAUCGUGUUAGUUAAUGACAAUAUUCCUUGACUUCCGUCAUUUUCCGUGACGUGAGGGAUACGCAAUAGUUGGAUCCUUCAAUUGCCCACCUCGGACCUCUCUCCCACUUCUUUUUACUCUGCUUUUUCUCUUUUACCUGCCUAAUUUGUUUCUGUCUCCGUCUGCUUGCUUCUGUUGUUUCCUGCGCUAACACCGCAAUCGCCGAAAUGCCCAACAGGAAGCCAAGGGCCAGCCGAAGGGCACUCAAGGACAAAAACCCAUCUGGAAAUGCAGCCAAUAUCCUCGCAGGAAAGGUCUUGGAUGCCGCUCCGAGCCCGAUCCAAACACCAUGGGACUCCAACCCAGAGAAGGAGAACCACGCGAGCCUCUCUCAGACUCGCACCUCCCCCAAGAAGUCAGCCAAAGCUGCGGCUUCUAAGAAACAGGCCAAGCAGAAGAAGACCCAACCGUCGUCAUUCGAGAAAGAACUCGAAGAAAUGCAAGAGAAGCUGCAAGCGAUGAAGCUCGAGAAGGAGAAACCCUUUGAGCUCUUGAAGGAGAAGAAUGAGAUCUUGAAGACCAAGGAGGAAGAUCUAGCAAUGAAGAUCUCGGCAAUGAAGGGCGAGAGCAGAGCAAGACAAGCUUCAGAUGGAGUUGAAGAAGCUGCAGAAGCUCAAGGAGUUCAAACCCACCGUGGUCUGUUUCUUGAUCCCCUUUCUUUUCUUCAUUUGCGUCCUUAUUUCUUCCUGUGUUGCAUUAUCCUCUGUUUGGAUGCUGAGAAAAUAUAUUAUGGAUCUGAAGUUUGGUUGGGUGAUUCUUACUUUUGGGUUCUCAAAUUUGUUUGGUUACUUGUCAAUUGUAAAAAAAAAUAGAAAAAAAAAUCCAUGAGGGUUCUUAUUUAUAUGUUCUUAGGGUUUUUGUUCUCGAUCCCCUUUCCUGGAAUUCGUAAUUUUGGGAUCCCAGCUUUUGCAUACAAUCUACUUUUGGGAUCCCUCACGUGCAGGCUAACGGGAAAGGAUUGAAGUUAAGUUUUGGGGCAUACAUCCGAAUAGAUUUUACCACGAAGGUUCAAAUCCGAAUUUUUUUAACACAGGAUUAUUAUUCCGUAUAUAUCUCUCUCUCAUGCAGUCGUUAUCUUUGCAAGUAAUUCUUUAUUCAAUUGGUUUUUAUUUUUUGGUCUUGGUUUUUCAAUUUUUAUGCUUGCAGUUCAAAAUUUCAUACUCUUUUUUGUUUCCCUUCAGGUGGAAAUGGAAAUGGAAAUGGAUAUGGUGAGGAGCAAUCAGAGGAGAUUGGGGUACUGCUGCAUGAACAAUGCAAGGCUGAUGGAGCUCCCCAUCGAAAUCUUUGACAACAUCUAUUUGAGGCUACCCAUAAGCUGUCUUUUUACCCUUAGAUGUGUCUCUAAUACAUCAAAGAACAUAGUCGACCGCCCUUUCUUUGUUACACAGCACAUGCGACAUUUACUUUGGGCGAAAUCUACUUUUGCUUCCGAUCAGUUUAUGCUUCUUGAUUACCUUUUCUCUUACUCUUAUCGUAGAUUUGCCUUUACACCACUAAAAUAUGAUGGCGUCAACGCUGCCUUGAAGAGAAGCGAAGAUUGUGCAAUCGUUUCUGAUAUUGUGUCCACAAAGAUCGGUGUUUCAUAUUCUUUGAGUUUUGUUUUCUACAACUUGUUUUUCUUUCAAGAUAAUGGCUAUAGUCGUCGUCAACCGUACAAGAAGAAAGAAAGAAGUCCAUGCUUCUUAGUCAAUCCUUUAAAGGGAGAAGUUCUUCCACUCCCAACCACUGACAUCCAAUUUCCAUAUAGUUUUUAUAGAUCGUGCAAGGAAUGGUAUGGUAUGGGAUUUGAUGAUAUAACCAGCACUUACAAGAUUCUCCGUGUUUCUGGAGAUGAAGAUUCGACGAUAUGUCAACUUAGGGCCCAAAUUUAUGUACUAGGUACCGGCUCGUGGCGAGAGAUACCCUCAGUCCCUCCUCGUAAUUUAAGCAACAACCAUGCAUUUGCACAUGGAGACCAGCAUUGGUUGCUUUAUUUACCUGAUCACUCAAGUUGUAAUAAUAGAAACGCACUCGGUAUAUGUUCUUUUGACUACAAGAAAGAGGAGUUUUACUCGACUAUUCCUCUUCCCCGAGCACAUGCAAAGUAAGUAUACUCCGCACUAUCU